rnacentral:lncRNA from 1 species
GGGUAUUUGAUAGUUUGAGACCCCUAGGUGUGAUGUAUGGUGUUUACGCAUGUUUUAGAACGAGUUAUGCAUGAUUGGUGAGUUUGAAGGCAAAAAUGCUUAAGGGAGCCAAGUUUCUGCCCUUUGGCAGAAACCAGGUUCGGCAGCCGAAGGGAGUUUCGGCCGCCGAACAUGGCUUGAGAGGCAGCUUUAGGCUGCCGAAGCUUGCCCCCGAAAGUUGGAGUUUCGGC